GACGAACGCUGGCGGCGUGCUUAACACAUGCAAGUCGAACGAAGUGGCGAACGGGUGAGUAACGCGUAAUCAACCUGCCCUUCAGAGGGGGACAACAGUUGGAAACGACUGCUAAUACCGCAUACAGAAGGAGGGGAUUGCGUCUGAUUAGCUAGUUGGAGGGGUAACGGCCCACCAAGGCGAUGAUCAGUAGCCGGUCUUGUAGGAUGGACGGCCACAUUGGGACUUGGGCAAGGCCCAGCCUCCUACGGGGGGCAGCAGUGGGGAAUCUUCCGCAAUGGACGGAAGUCUUACGGAGCAACGCCGCGUGAGUGAUGACGGCCUUCGGGUUUUAAAGCUCUGUUAAUCGGGACGCGGUACCGGAAUAGAAAGCCACGGCUAACUACGUGCCAGCAGCCGCGGUAAUUC
rnacentral:rRNA from 1 species